UACGUAGGUGGCAAGCGUUGUCCGGAAUUAUUGGGCGUAAAGCGCGCGCAGGCGGUCUUUUAAGUCUGAUGUGAAAGCCCACGGCUCAACCGUGGAGGGUCAUUGGAAACUGGGAGACUUGAGUGCAGAAGAGAAGAGUGGAAUUCCACGUGUAGCGGUGAAAUGCGUAGAGAUGUGGAGGAACACCAGUGGCGGAAGGCGACUCUUUGGUCUGUAACUGGACGCUGAGGCGCGAAAAGCGUGGGGGAGCAAACAGGG
rnacentral:rRNA from 1 species